rnacentral:lncRNA from 10 species
GUAGGGCUGGAUCAGGCGGAAGCCGGGGCCCGGGGCUGGGCUUCGUGUCCUGCGUUCCGGGAGCGCCAACCCCUCCAGCAGAGGGGACGUGGCUGGUGGCUGGAGAAGCUGGAUUUGCCCUUUGAUGGUGGCCCUCUUGAUCCCCGGCUUGCUGAAGUCAAAGCUGUGCUCUGAGGCCUGGAUGAGCUUGUUUGCCCAGAAGAGGUGCUUGGAGGUCUGCGCACUGAUGGAGUGAUGGCAGGCAGACACGUGGUUCUCCUCCGUGAAACUCCGGCAGUUUGAAUUCAGACUCCACGGUCUGAAGAAGCUGGCACGAUGCACCUCCCGCCGACCACCCCGCCACCAGCUCAUCCACUCCCCUGCUGUCCCACUCCACUGCCACCAGGAAGUCUGCGGUUGUAUUCUGAAACUUUAGUGAGUUUAGGAAGCUGCUUGCCAACUCAUGCCCCACCCCCAAAGAGGAAUCCAGUUGGUUGGAGGUAAGGCCCAGGAAUCUCAUUUUUAUCAAGCACUGCAGGUGAGCUGGGGCAACUCACUUCGAGGAUUAGUGCCCAGAACACUAGUCCCCAGCAGGGGAGCCCCAGAGCAAUGUCCUCCCACCCACCUGCCCACUCUUUCUUCAAGUGCCUGCCCACCCCCGCCUUGAGCAGCUCUGUCCUCAGCAAGCCAGGCAGCUCUGAGGGGUCAGGUCCUAUCCUGUCCCUGGGUGUGCCCCACCACCCCUCAGUCUUCCUCUCAUGCCAGGGGCUGAGGGCAUAAACAGAAGUGGGAGGAUAGGCGCCCCACGCCCUCCCCAGCCUUUUGGCCUGGACACUGGCCCCGGGGAGGUUUUGGAAAUGGCAGAAGGGAGGGAGAUCCUAGGCUGGGGGAUCCUAGGCUGGGGGUGAGGUCGGAGGUCCUGGAGGGCUCGGGGGAGGCCCUACGUUGAUUGAGGAUGGUUCUCACCGCAUCUCUGCAACCUCCACUGACCCUUUGCCGCAGCAUGGAAAUCCAUGGGCACCUGACAGGGGAAAGGAGGUGAGGGCAGGGAGCUGCAGGGUAGAGGACAGUCCCAGAGGGAUUCCGGAGCCAGCCCCCUUUUCCUGCCCUUCUUUUCUCUCUUCCCGGCUGCUAUUCCCCCUCACCGUCCUGCCCCGCUCUCCUUGUUCCCGAGCCGGUCGCCAUUCCUAUCCUCCAGUCCUGCUCCCUCCACUCUCCGUCUGUGCCUUGCCUCCUCGGAGGCUCCCGGUUCCAUCUCCAUCCCCCAAAACCGUGACUGCUAACAGUACCCUGAACAUGACAGAGCGCUUCCAUAGCCUGGUCACUUUACCUGCUUUAUCUCACUGAUUCAACACAAAAAAUUAGGACAGGUCCAUUUGCCCAAGGUCCCCCAGCUGAACAUAGCUGAAGUGAUGACUUGAAUGCAGGCUUGACUCAGGAAACUCUUAACUCCCUGCCCCCACCGGCUACUCCCAGGACCCUGUAACUGCGUGGAGUCCCAAUAACGCCCCAUGUGAACCUCCCCCAUCUCCCCAUUCCUGCUCCUCUGCCGGCUUCCUCUCCUCUCUCUGGGUCAUCCAUCACUGACUCCAGGCCAAGGCCUGCACCCCAGGUGUGUAAUCUGAGGUGGUGCUAGCACCUAUCCGACGAUUUAUGAGCUCAGAUCACCCUCUGCAGGGGAGACUGACUCCUUGGGAACGUCCGCAACCCCAAACCCCUCCCUGGAGGCUUGUAUCUUUUACUGCAGAAGCUGUUUCUUCAC